rnacentral:rRNA from 1 species
AACGAACGCUGGCGGCAGGCUUACACAUGCAAGUCGAACGGCAGCACGGGGCAACCUGGUGGCGAGUGGCGAACGGGUGAGUAAUGCAUCGGAACGUACCUUUCAGUGGGGGAUAACGUAGCGAAAGUUACGCUAAUACCGCAUAUUCUGUGAGCAGGAAAGCAGGGGAUCGCAAGACCUUGCGCUGAUUGAGCGGCCGAUGUCAGAUUAGCUAGUUGGUGAGGUAAAGGCUCACCAAGGCGACGAUCUGUAGCGGGUCUGAGAGGAUGAUCCGCCACACUGGAACUGAGACACGGUCCAGACUCCUACGGGAGGCAGCAGUGGGGAAUUUUGGACAAUGGGGGCAACCCUGAUCCAGCCAUGCCGCGUGAGUGAAGAAGGCCUUCGGGUUGUAAAGCUCUUUCGGCCGGGAAGAAAUCGCACGGGCUAAUACCCUGUGUGGAUGACGGUACCGGAAUAAGAAGCACCGGCUAACUACGUGCCAGCAGCCGCAGUAAAAC